GAUAAACGCUGACAGAAUGCUUAACACAUGCAAGUCGAUGAUGGGAGCUAGCUUGCUAGAAGAAGUCAUGGCGGACGGGUGAGUAACGUGUAAAGAACUUACCAUAUAGACUGGGAUAACAGAGGGAAACUUCUGAUAAUACUGGAUAAGUUAGAAGUAGCAUUACUAAGUAAUGAAAGGUAGAAAUACGCUAUAUGAGAGCUUUGCAUCCUAUUAGCUAGUUGGUGGGGUAAAAGCCUACCAAGGCGAUGAUAGGUAGCCGGCCUGAGAGGGUGGACGGCCACAAGGGGACUGAGAUACGGCCCUUACUCCUACAGGAGGCAGCAGUGGGGAAUAUUGGACAAUGGAGGCAACUCUGAUCCAGCAAUUCUGUGUGUGUGAAGAAGGUUUUAGGACUGUAAAACACUUUUAGUAGGGAAGAAAGAAAUGACGGUACCUACAGAAGAAGCGACGGCUAAAUACGUGCCAGCAGCCGCGGUAAUACGUAUGUCGCGAGCGUUAUCCGGAAUUAUUGGGCUUAAAGGGCAUCUAGGCGGUUAAACAAGUUGAAGGUGAAAACCUGUGGCUCAACCAUAGGCUUGCCUACAAAACUGUAUAACUAGAGUACUGGAAAGGUGGGUGGAACUACACGAGUAGAGGUGAAAUUCGUAGAUAUGUGUAGGAAUGCCGAUGAUGAAGAUAACUCACUGGACAGCAACUGACGCUGAAGUGCGAAAGCUAGGGGAGCAAACAGG
rnacentral:rRNA from 1 species